rnacentral:rRNA from 1 species
AGGUGGAGCAAAUCUCAAAAAGACCGUCCCAGUUCGGAUCGCAGGCUGCGACCCGCCUGCGUGAAGUUGGAAUCGCUAGUAAUCGCGGAUCAGCAUGCCGCGGUGAAUACGUUCCCGGGCCUUGUACACACCGCCCGUCACACCAUGAGAGUCGGGAACACCCGAAGUCCGUAGCCUAACCGCAAGGGGGGCGCGGCCGAAGGUGGGUUCGAUAAUUGGGGUGAAGUCGUAACAAGGUAUC